GAUGAAGAACGUAGUGAAAUGCGAUAAGUAGUGUGAAUUGCAGAUUUUAGUGAAUCAUCGAAUCUUUGAACGCACAUUGCGCCCCUUGGUAUUCCGAGGGGCAUGCCUGUUCGAGCGUCAUUAUAACCCCUCAAGCUCAGCUUGGUGUUGGGGCCUGCUGCACUGGCAGCCCUUAAAAUCAGUGGCGGCGCCAUCUGGCUCUAAGCGUAGUAAUUCUUCUCGCUAUGGAGUCCUGGUGGAUGCUUGCCAUCAACCCCCAAUUUUUCUAUGGUUGACCUCGGAUCAGGUAGGGAUACCCGCUGAACUUAAGCAUAUCAAUAAGCGGAGGA
rnacentral:misc_RNA from 1 species